rnacentral:lncRNA from 1 species
CUGGAAUUCAGAUCUAACUCUAAAGCCUCAAACACACUCAUUGCCUCUUGAAAAAGGAUGCUGGACUUAUCAUCAUGUGCCAAUCCUGCCAAACAGCCAUGGAGACCUCAGAUUUGGUUGAAAUAAAUAGACAAAAUUAAAACCUGCACAAAAAGUUGGUAUCAGAACAAACAAUAUUGACAGUUUAUAUUUCAAGAGUAUUUUUGUCUGAGGAAAUCAAUCAUUCUACAGACAUGACCUCAUUCUGAUCUCUCAGGUAGGAAAAGGACAGUCCUGCCUUCCUCUUAAGAUCCUCAAAGGACUCAUGGUGACGACCAGGCUGUAAGAUCCACAAGAGUAGAGACAAUUGCUGGCCGUGCUUAUCACUGUGGACCCAAAGCCUGAAGUAGCAUCUGGUUCAUUAAACACAUGAUGAAUAUAUGUUGAAUAACUAAAUGAAUGAAAACACCGUUCUUCAAGCUCCCACUAACACCUUACCACUCUCUACCAUGUCAACUUAUUUUAUUAUAACAAUUGCUCAUCAUUAAACCGUAUGGUCCUGGAAGAAAAAGACUGUUUUUAAGUCUAUAAAGUCAUAUUUAUAUGUGAAAUCAUAAUUACAUCCCCAUAACACAAUGUCCUGCAUAUGGUAGAUAUUCAGUUAUUCAGAAUGAGAAAAAUGGAAUGAGUGAAUGAAUUGCUAUAUGGGCAGGGCAGCUUGCCAGUGAUGCUCUCAAGUGAUCCUUUUUCUUAAAUAAAUCUUUCCUUCCUGGUUUUGAUAAUAGUUUCCAUAUAACACCAAAAUAUAACUGAAACGUAAAAACAUUGCUUUGUGCUCCAGAUGUUUCAUUUUCAGAAGCCAAACAUCCAGAUCAUUUGGACCCAUAUGAAAAACUGAGCAUCUCUUCAUCCAAAUGUUUGGCAUUUUCUUGGCUUAUUCAGAGUCCAAAGGAAGAAAGAAAUGGAUGCGUUACCCCUACGCCAUCAAUACAGAGAGAAAAUGAAAAUAAAUAAUUAGUAUGAUUAAAG